GGCAGCGUGGCUUAGUGGACAGAGCACGGGCUUGAGAGUCAGAAAGAUCUGGAUUCUAAUCCCGGCUUUGCCA
rnacentral:tRNA from 1 species